UUCACACCAGCGUUUUUGCUGGAUCAGUCAUGGAUCAGCAAAAUCGCUUCCAUCAUAAUAAUACAACAAUCUGCAUCCGUUAUGAACGGAUCCGUUUGUAUUAUCUUUAACAUAACCAAGACUGAUCCAUCUUGAACACCAUUGAAAGUCAAUGG